AAUAUUGGUCAAUGGGGGGAACCCUGAUCCAGCCAUGCCGUGUGUGUGAAGAAGGUCUUCGGAUUGUAAAGCACUUUAAGUUGGGAGGAAGUGCAGUAAGUUAAUACCUUGCUGUUCUGGCGUUACCGACAGAAUAAGCACCGGCUAACUUCGUGCCUGCAGCCGCGGUAAUACGAAGGGUGCAAGCGUUAAUUGGAAUUACUGGGCGGAAAGAGAGCGUAGGUGGUUCGUUAAGUUGGAAGUGAAAGCCCCGGGCUUAACCUGGGAAUUGCUUUCAAAACUGACGAGCUAGAGUACGGUAGAGGGUAGUGGAAUUUCCUGUGUAGCGGUGAAAGGCGUAGAUAUAGGAAGGAACAUCAGUGGCGAAGGCGACUACCUGGACUGAUACUGACACUGAGGUGCGAAAGCGUGGGGAGCAAACAGG
rnacentral:rRNA from 1 species